CUUCAGCUGGUGGUCGCCAUUCUUGCUUUUUGCGAAAAAUAAUAAUUGUGGUGAUUAAAAAUCAUGAUUGGCAUAAGAAAUUGGUGAAAGAAAUAUAACGGUUCGACUACAUCCAUCUUGUUCAUUUUGUUUCAGGUUUCUUAGACUUUUCCCUGAUCAGACAAUACUCAGAUUUCACCUUGAACUUGUCACACAUAUCGAUUUUUACAGAAAAUCAAUAAUCAGCUGAUUGCAUUUGAUAGCAAUCUGCAACAAUGGACUAAUUAAUUAAGGUGUUAAAUGUAUUGUUUAAUGAAAAUGUGUGGUGCAAUGGCGUCACAUGUCACCCACAGGAUUGUUUUUACAACUUUGAUAAAUAUAAUUAUUUUGAAGAGGGUAUUUCCCAUAGUUUUAGUGGCGCACCUGUCUUGAGAAAAGUUUUAUGUCUCAGCUUUUACUUUUAACGAUGGCCCAGAAUUGAAAACUGAUGAUGAAUCAAAUUUUACAGUAUCUUUAAAAAAGUACAAGAAAUCUUUGUUAUAAUUUAGUGUUCAUUUAUUACAAUGUAGGUUAUAAAAUAGAUAUGUAGAAUUAUAAUAAAUGAGACAACAAUGCUGCAAUCUGAAUUUUUUUGUUAGCAAGAAGUCCUAAACACAAACCUGUUUAUUUUAGUUGCAGAAAAAAAACUGAGAGUGGCAAAAUAAAUAUCAUUUUGGUAAAAGAGGUGGCGAAAAAAAAGAAAUUGACCCAUGGGAAACCCUGUUUUAGCAUUUAUGCAAAUCUUACAUUGCUGACAAUAUUACUAUCAUGUAUAUUGUACUGUACUGUAAUCUUUUAUACUUCAUAGGAUAAUAUGCCUAGCCCUAAUUUGGCAUAUAUUUCUAAUAAACUCACAUCAUAAUGAACAUGAGUACCAAGUUUCAAGUGCAUGUGACCACAACUUCAUGGUUAACAACAUAAACAAAAAACUUUACACUGAAACAGAACGGAAAACAUGAAAACUUAACCUUGAUCACUGAAACAUGAAAUGAGGUCAAGGAUCCCAUAUACCCAAUAUAGUUGUCCUAUUACUCUUCACAAGUAAGAAAUUCAUUUGAUAAUAAAUUGCUCCACAGGGCGCAGCUUGAUACGACCGCAGAGGUCGAACCCUGAACAGUUGGGGCAAGUAUGGACACAACAUUCAAGCUUGAUACAGCUCUGAAUUUGGAUUGUGAUUAAAUAUUUGACACAGCAUAGGUUUCUGACACAGAAUGAAUGUGGUCUAAGAACUUAAAAAUUUUAAAUUGGACAUUCAACUAUUAUGGUCCAAUAUCCAAAAUCUAAAUACAUGGUUUAAUUUUGGACCCUUUGGACCUUAAUGUAGACCAAUUUGAAAACGGAACCAAAAAUUAAGAAUCUAAAUACACGGUUAGAUUCGGCAUAUCAAAGAACCCCAAUAAUUCAAUUUUUGAUGAAAUCAAACAAAGUUUAAUUUUGGACCCUUUGGACCUCAAUGUGGACCAAUUUAAAAACGGGGCCCAAAAUCCAAAAACUUAAUACACGGUUCGAAUCAGCAUAGUAAAGAACCCCAAGAAUUCAAGAAUAAAACCCCAUUCAAAUUGGUCAAGAAAUAAGCAAUUUAUACGAAGUAUCUUCUUUUGCACAAUACUGUGCAAUUGAAUAUUUCUUGCUAUUGCGCAAUACUGUACAAUUGACAAUUUCUUGCUAUUGCGCAAUAUUGUGCUAUUGGAUAUUUCUUGCUAUUGCACAAUACUGUGCAAUUGAAGAUUUCUUGCUAUUGCGCAAUACUGUGCAAUUGAAGAUUUCUUGUUAUUGUGCAAUACUGUGCAAUUGAAAAUUUCUUGCUAUUGCACAAUACUUAUUUUAUAAUAAUUUACACAUCCUGUUUGGUGUGUAUCUCCUACCAUAUCAUUAUUAUUUGCUUUUAAAUAUAAAACAGAAAUAACCAACUUAAAAUGGAAAAUUUUAAAAGAAAAAAAAAAGGAAAAAAAAAAAUCCCCCCCCCCAAAUUUUUUGAACCCCCUUAUGAUUCAUCACCCCCAAACUCAAUCCCAGCCUUCCCUUUGUGGUAUGGUACCUUGCAGUACAAUUUCAGAGAGAUCCAUACACUUGAACACAAGUUAUUGUCUGGAAACUAGAAAAAUGCUUAUUUUUGGCCCCUUUUUGGCCCCUUAUUCCUAAACGUUUUGGGCAAUUACCCCCAAACUCAAUUCCAGCUUUCCCUUUGUGAUAUGGAACCUUGUAGUACAAUUUCAGAAAGAUCCAUACACAUACAAGUUAUUGUCAUGAAACUAGAAAAAUGCUUGUUUUUUGCCCCUUUUUUGGCCCCUAAUUCCUACUAUUUUGAGGCAAUUACCCCCAAAAUCAAUCCCAGCAUUCCCUGUGUGAUAUGGAACCUUGUGGUACAAUUUCAGAGAGAUCCAUACACUUGAACACAAGUUAUUGUCUGGAAACUAGAAAAAUGCUUAUUUUUGGCCCCUUUUUGGCCCCUUAUUCCUAAACGUUUUGGGCAAUUACCCUCAAACUCAAUUCCAGCUUUCCCUUUGUGAUAUGGAACCUUGUAGUACAAUUUCAGAAAGAUCCAUACAACACAAGUUAUUGUCAUGAAACUAGAAAAAUGCUUGUUUUUUGCCACUUUUUUUGCCCCUAAUUCCUACUAUUUUGAGGCAAUUACCCCCAAAAUCAAUCCAAGCAUUCCCUGUGUGAUAUGGAACCUUGUGGUACAAUGUCAGAGAGAUCCAUACACUAACACACAAGUUAUGUCUGGAAGUUACAAAAAUGCUUAUUUUUGGCCCCUUUUUGGCCCCUAAUUCCUUAACUGUUGGUACCAUAACCCCCAAAAUCAAUCCCAACCUUCCUUUUGUGGUAUUGAACCUUAUGGUAAAAUUUCAUAGAGAUCCAUUCACUUAAACUAAAGGAGAGUGCGAAAACCAAUGUGUCUUUGGACGACGCCGGACGACAAUAACGCCAACGUCAUACCAAUAUACGACCGCAAAAUUUUUUUGCGGUUGUAUAAAAACUGCAAAAUUUCCUCAAAACUACCAAUUUAGUGGCAGCAACCCAACAAUGGGUUGUUCGAUUUGUCUGAAAAUUUCAGGGCUGAUAGAUCUUGACCAAUUGAACAAUUUUACCUAAUGUCAGAUUUGCUCUAAAAGCUUUAGUUUUGGAGAUAUAAGCCAAUAACUGCAUUUGUCCCUUAUGUUCUAUUUUUAGCCAUGGCGGCCAUGUUUGUCGAUGGAUUAAAACUUCGGAUACAAUUUAUAAACUAGAUAUCCUAAGGAACAUUUAGAUGAAGUUUGAAGGUAUUUGGCCCAGUAGUUUCAGAAGAGAAGAUUUUUAAAUGUUAGCAAACUUGAUGAACAAAUUGUGUAAAAUUGUCUUUAUAGGGCAAUAACUCCUUAAGGGGUCAAUUGACAAUUUUAGUCAUAUAAAACUUUUCUGUAGAUCUUACUUUGCUGAACAUUAUUGCUGUUUACAGUUUAUAUCUAUCUAUAAUAAUAUUCAAGAUAAUAACAAAUAAAAUGCUCCGCAGGGCGCAGCUUUAUACGACCGCAGAGGUCGAACCCUGAACAGUUGGGGCAAGUAUGGACACAACAUUCAAGCUUGAUACAGCUCUGAAUUUGGAUUGUGAUUAAAUAUUUGACACAGCAUAGGUUUCUGACACAGAAUGAAUGUGGUCUAAGAACUUAAAAAUUUUAAAUUGGACAUUCACCUAUUAUGGUCCAAUAUCCAAAAUCUAAAUACAUGGUUAGAUUCAGCAUAUCAAAGAACCCCAAGAAUUCAAUUUUUGAUGAAAUCAAACAAAGUUUAAUUUUGGACCCUUUUGACCUCAAUGUGGACAAAGUUGAUAACGGGGCCCAAAAAUCUAAAUACAUGGUUAGAUUCAGCAUAUCAAAGAACCCCAUAUAUUCAUAUUUUGUUGAAAUCAAACAAAGUUUAAUUUUGGACCCCGAUUUGGACCAACUUGAAAACUGGUCCCAUAAUUAAAAAUCUAAAUACAUGUUUAGAUUCAGCAUAUCAAAGAACCCUAAAAAUUCAAUUUUUGUUAAAAUCAAACUAAGUUUCAUUUUGGACCCUUUGGACCUUAAUGUAGACCAAUUUGAAAACGGAACCAAAAAUUAACAAUCUAAAUACACGGUUAGAUUCGGCAUAUCAAAGAACCCCAAUAAUUCAAUUUUUGAUAAAAUCAAACAAAGUUAAAUUUUGGACCAUUUGGACCUCAAUGUGGACCAAUUUAAAAACAGGGCCCAAAAUCCAAUAAAAUGCUUCGCUGGGCGCAGCUUGAUAGGACCACAGAGGUCGAACCCUGAACAGUUGGGGCAAGUAUGGACACAACAUUCAAGCUUGAUACAGCUCUGAAUUUGGAUUGUGAUUAAAUAAUUGACACAGCAUAGGUUUCUGACACAGAAAGAAUGUGGUCUAAGAACUUCAAUUUUUUUAAUUUACCUAUUAUGGUCCAAUGUCCAAAAUCAAAAUACAUGGUUAGAUUCAGCAUAUCAAAGAACCCCAUAUAUUCAAUUUUUGUUGAAAUCAAACAAAGUUUAAUUUUGGACCCCAACUUGGACAAACUUGAAAACUGGUCCCAUAAUCAGUAAUCUAAACACAUGUUUAGAUUCAGCAUAUCAAAGUACCCCAAGAAUUCAUUUUUUGUUAAAAUCAAACUAAGUUUAAUUUUGGACCCUUUGGACCUUAAUGUAGACCAAUUUAAAAAACGGGACCCAAAAUUAAAAAUCUAAAAACACGGUUAGAUUUGGAAUAUCAAAGAACCCCAACAAUUCAAUUUUGGAUGAAAUCAAACAAAGUUUGAUUUUGGACCCUUUUGACCUCAAUAUGAACCAAUUUGAUAGCGGGCCCACAAAUAAAAAAUCUAAAUACAAGGUAAGAUUCAGCAAAUCAAAGAACCCCAUAUAUUCAUAUUUUGUUGAAAUCAAACAAAGUUUAAUUUUGGACCCCAAUUUGGACCAACUUGAAAACUUGGCCAAAAAUCUUAAAUCUAAAUACAUGUUUAGAUUCAGCAUAUCAAAGAACCCCAUAUAUUCAAUUUUUGUUGAAAUCAAACAAAGUUUAAUUUUGUUGGACCCCAACUUGGACCAACUUGAAAACUGGGCUCAUAAUCAAAAAUCUAAACACAUGUUUAGAUUCAGCAUAUCAAAGAACCCCAAAAAUUCAAUUUUUGUUAAAAUCAAACUAAGUUUAAUUUUGGACCCUUUGGACCUUAAUGUAGACCAAUUUAAAAAACGGGACCCAAAAUUAAAAAUCUAAAUACACGGUUAGAUUUGGCAUAUCAAAGAACCCAAAUAAUUAAAUUUUUGAUGAAAUCAAACAAA